rnacentral:rRNA from 1 species
UACGGAGGGGGCAAGCGUUGUUCGGAAUCACUGGGCGUAAAGCGCACGUAGGCGGCUUACUAAGUCAGGGGUGAAAUCCUGGAGCUCAACUCCAGAACUGCCUUUGAUACUGAAGAUCUUGAGUUCGGGAGAGGUGAGUGGAACUGCGAGUGUAGAGGUGAAAUUCGUAGAUAUUCGCAAGAACACCAGUGGCGAAGGCGGCUCACUGGCCCGAUACUGACGCUGAGGUGCGAAAGCGUGGGGAGCAAACAGG